rnacentral:tRNA from 1 species
AUUAAGGUGGCAGAUCAGUGCGAAGGGUUUAAGUUUCUUUUAGAGAAAUACUAGAAUUUCUUUUAUUUCUUCUUAAUA